UUUCUACUAUUACUGUCAUUAGCAGCCAGUAAAUCAUUAUACCCUGCCAUUGAGUGUCAUUAUAAAGCUCACUACCUUUAGAGAAUUGCGCUAAAGCGACAACUGACCAACAAGUGAAACAACGUUCAAAAGUGAAAAUUUUCAUGAUGGCUGAUAUGAUAAAGUUGGURGUGGCCGUUUCCUUUGUUGCAAUGAUUGCGUCCUGUGWGGGGUAUACAAACUAUAAAAACGGCAACUAUCCUAAACCUUGCACUGGAACAUUUUACGCGGAUUGUUCCGUAUGUCCCUGCAGUAGCAUCACUGCUAACGGUACUAUCGACAAGACCAAAUGUGCUUCUAUCGAGUGUCCACAAGACUUAGGGGUGUUUUGCGCUUCUAAUAACUGGGUUCCCCCAAAUCCUUCUGGAGGAGAAUGUGACUGUAGCGUCUGUGCACAAGCAGCUGAAGAGGAAGCAAUAAUACUCUAGGAACAGAUAGAGAAAUGAAAGGAGGUCACGUCAUCUUAUAUAACUAUACAAACUGUUAAAAACUCGUUUUUAUGUACUGAACUACAUGAUUAAACCAGGAAAAAAACCCUGUAAAACGUC